GUUUGUGUACUCGUGAAAUUAGUUUACUAAGUUGUAUACUAAUAUUGCGUGGCUAAAAUUAGUUUGCUAUAUUAAGCACUGUUCAAAUUUCAAACCAAAAGGUGAUUGUUCUUGAAAUUUUCUACGUGUUCACCAAUGCAUUUAUCUUUCCACAUUUGAUAUCAUACUCUCAGUAAUGAGUCAGACAUGUAGANNNNNNNNGUAUAUAGGUAUAGGUAGACUUGUUUGAAAUGCAAAAUAAAAUAAAAUAAAAAAGGGGGGA
rnacentral:misc_RNA from 1 species